GUUGUAUAGUCAAGUAAUUAAGUGCAUGUGGUGGAUGCCUUGGCAGUCAGAGGCGAUGAAAGACGUGAUAGCCUGCGAAAAGCUCCGGGGAGGCGGCAAAUAUCCUUUGAUCCGGAGAUGUCUGAAUGGGGGAACCCACCUACUUUAAGGUAGGUAUUGCAACAUGAAUACAUAGUGUUGCAAGGCGAACGAGGGGAAGUGAAACAUCUCAGUACCCUUAGGAAAAGAAAUCAAUUGAGAUUCCCUCAGUAGCGGCGAGCGAACGGGGAUCAGCCCAUUAAGUUAUGUGUGUUUUAGUGGAACGCUCUGGGAAGUGCGAACGUAGAGGGUGAUAUUCCCGUACACGAAAGGGCACACAUAAUGAUGACGAGUAGGGCGAGGCACGUGAAACCUUGUCUGAAUAUGGGGGGACCAUCCUCCAAGGCUAAAUACUCCUGACUGACCGAUAGUGAACCAGUACCGUGAGGGAAAGGCGAAAAGAACCCCUGUGAGGGGAGUGAAAUAGAUCCUGAAACCGCAUGCAUACAAGCAGUGGGAGCACCUUCGUGGUGUGACUGCGUACCUUUUGUAUAAUGGGUCAGCGACUUAUAUUCAGUAGCAAGGUUAACCGUAUAGGGGAGCCGUAGAGAAAUCGAGUCUUAAUAGGGCGUUUAGUUGCUGGGUAUAGACCCGAAACCAGGCGAUCUAUCCAUGAGCAGGUUGAAGGUUGGGUAACACUAACUGGAGGACCGAACCCACUGUCGUUGAAAAGCCAGGGGAUGACUUGUGGAUAGGGGUGAAAGGCUAAUCAAGCCUGGUGAUAGCUGGUUCUCCCCGAAAGCUAUUUAGGUAGCGCCUCGGACGAAUACCAUAGGGGGUAGAGCACUGUUUCGGCUAGGGGGUCAUCCCGACUUACCAAACCGAUGCAAACUCCGAAUACCUAUGAGUACUAUCCGGGAGACAGACUGCGGGUGCUAACGUCCGUAGUCAAGAGGAAAACAAUCCAGACCGCCAGCUAAGGCCCCAAAAUCAUAGUUAAGUGGGAAACGAUGUGGGAAGGCAUAGACAGCUAGGAGGUUGGCUUAGAAGCAGCCACCCUUUAAAGAAAGCGUAAUAGCUCACUAGUCGAGUCGGCCUGCGCGGAAGAUGUAACGGGGCUAAAACUAUGUGCCGAAGCUGCGGAUNNNNNNAUGCUGGAGGUAUCAGAAGUGCGAAUGCUGACGUGAGUAACGACAAAACGGGUGAAAAACCCGUUCGCCGAAAGACCAAGGGUUCCAGUCCAACGUUAAUCGGGGCUGGGUGAGUCGACCCCUAAGGCGAGGCCGAAAGGCGUAGUCGAUGGGAAAAUGGUUAAUAUUCCAUUACUUCUGUGUAAUGCGAUGAGAGGACGGAGAAGGCUAAAUCAGCCUGGCGUUGGUUGUCCAGGUGAAAGGAUGUAGGCAUGUAUCUUAGGCAAAUCCGGGGUACUCUAUGCUGAGAUCUGAUAGCAAGCUGUACUUGUACAGCGAAGUGGUUGAUGCCAUGCUUCCAGGAAAAGUCUCUAAGCUUCAGUUACACAGGAAUCGUACCCGAAACCGACACAGGUGGUCAGGUCGAGUAGACCAAGGCGCUUGAGAGAACUCUGCUGAAGGAACUAGGCAAAAUGGUACCGUAACUUCGGGAGAAGGUACGCUGUUGUUGGUGAUGGAACUCGCUUCCUGAGCUGACGACAGCCGCAGAAACCAGGCCGCUGCAACUGUUUAUUAAAAACAUAGCACUCUGCAAACACGAAAGUGGACGUAUAGGGUGUGAUGCCUGCCCGGUGCUGGAAGGUUAAUUGAUGGGGUUAGCGUAAGCGAAGCUCUUGAUCGAAGCCCCAGUAAACGGCGGCCGUAACUAUAACGGUCCUAAGGUAGCGAAAUUCCUUGUCGGGUAAGUUCCGACCUGCACGAAUGGCAUAAUGAUGGCGGCGCUGUCUCCAGCAGAGGCUCAGUGAAAUCGAAAUCGCUGUGAAGAUGCAGUGUACCCGCGGCUAGACGGAAAGACCCCGUGAACCUUUACUGCAGCUUGACACUGAACUUUGACCUUACUUGUGUAGGAUAGGUGGGAGGCUUUGAAGCUGGAACGCUAGUUCCAGUGGAGCCGUCCUUGAAAUACCACCCUGGUAAUGUUGAGGUUCUAACUCUGUCCCGUGAUCCGGGACGAGGACCGUGUCUGGUGGGUAGUUUGACUGGGGCGGUCUCCUCCUAAAGAGUAACGGAGGAGUACGAAGGUGCGCUCAGCGUGGUCGGAAAUCACGCGUAGAGUAUAAAGGCAAAAGCGCGCUUAACUGCGAGACCCACAAGUCGAGCAGGUACGAAAGUAGGUCUUAGUGAUCCGGUGGUUCUGUAUGGAAGGGCCAUCGCUCAACGGAUAAAAGGUACUCUGGGGAUAACAGGCUGAUACCGCCCAAGAGUUCAUAUCGACGGCGGUGUUUGGCACCUCGAUGUCGGCUCAUCUCAUCCUGGGGCUGAAGCAGGUCCCAAGGGUAUGGCUGUUCGCCAUUUAAAGAGGUACGCGAGCUGGGUUUAGAACGUCGUGAGACAGUUCGGUCCCUAUCUACCGUGGGCGCUGGAAAUUUGAGAGGAUCUGCUCCUAGUACGAGAGGACCAGAGUGGACGAACCUCUGGUGUACCGGUUGUGACGCCAGUCGCAUCGCCGGGUAGCUAUGUUCGGAAGGGAUAACCGCUGAAAGCAUCUAAGCGGGAAGCCUACCUCAAGAUAAGAUUUCCCUAGGACUUUAUGUCCUCUAAAGAGCCGUUCGAGACUAGGACGUUGAUAGGUUGGAUGUGGAAGCAUAGUGAUAUGUGAAGCUGACCAAUACUAAUUGCUCGUGAGGCUUGACUAUACAACACCCAAGCAGUUG
rnacentral:rRNA from 1 species